GGUUAAUUACUGAACAAAUAUGUCAACAGCAGACAGUCGCAGGUCGCCGAUUUUUGAAUACCUUUAGUAUAUUCACUGUGUUAUUCAAUGUGGAUGUGCUGAUGUGUGAUGAAAUUAGAUUGGUUCGUUAACAAUGUAAAAAUCAGUGAACAUGGGGUCCAGUGAUACAUGCAUCUGUUUUCUGUUUAUUACCUAAAUUAGAUGAGAUGCGGGUCAAUUAUAGGUUACCAUCCAAUAUACAUUCAAAAUUUGCUUCAUUUAUCUCCAUAAAACUGAAACCAAGAUCCGGAAAUAUUUAUUCAAAAUUUCUGAAUUGAGUUUAUGUUAAUUUGUGGUAGGCAGUUGGGUUGGCACCUUAUAAAAGGCCAUGCAUAUUCCCAUUAGAAUUGAGGCACUAUUUCGUUCAGCACAGAGAAAGUCGUUGGCUGCAACCUACCAUCAUGGACAAAUCAUCACCAUGUCCUGCAGUCAGACCAGCAGUAGUGGCUCACACAAAUUAUUAAAAAUUGACUUGGAAAUUGAUAAGACAUGCAACCAAAGAUACUGAGACGAAAAAAA